rnacentral:rRNA from 1 species
UACGUAGGGGGGCAAGCGUUGUCCGGAUUUAUUGGGCGUAAAGAGCGUGUAGGCGGCUAGGUAGGUCCGUUGUGAAAACCCGAGGCUCAACCUCGAGACGCCGGUGGAAACCAUCUAGCUAGAGUCCGGAAGAGGUGACUGGAAUUCCCAGUGUAGCGGUGAAAUGCGUAGAUAUUGGGAGGAACACCAGAUGCGAAGGCGGGUCACUGGGCUGAUACUGACGCUGAUGCGCGAAAGCCAGGGGGAGCGAACGGG